GCCGCCGUAGCUCAGCCCGGCUAGAGCGCCGGACUCAUAAUCCGGUUGUCCGGGGUUCAAAUCCCCGUGGCGGCA
rnacentral:tRNA from 2 species